AUUGAACGCUGGCGGCAGGCCUAACACAUGCAAGUCGAACGGUAGCAGGAAGAAGCUUGCUUCUUUGCUGACGAGUGGCGGACGGGUGAGUAAUAUCUGGGAAACUGCCUGAUGGAGGGGGAUAACUACUGGAAACGGUAGCUAAUACCGCAUAACGUCGCAAGACCAAAGAGGGGGACCUUCGGGCCUCUUGCCAUCGGAUGUGCCCAGAUGGGAUUAGCUAGUAGGUGGGGUAACGGCUCACCUAGGCGACGAUCCCUAGCUGGUCUGAGAGGAUGACCAGCCACACUGGAACUGAGACACGGUCCAGACUCCUACGGGAGGCAGCAGUGGGGAAUAUUGCACAAUGGGCGCAAGCCUGAUGCAGCCAUGCCGCGUGUAUGAAGAAGGCCUUCGGGUUGUAAAGUACUUUCAGCGGGGAGGAAGGGAGUAAAGUUAAUACCUUUGCUCAUUGACGUUACCCGCAGAAGAAGCACCGGCUAACUCCGUG
rnacentral:rRNA from 1 species